rnacentral:rRNA from 1 species
UGGGAGCUUGCUCCCUGAUGUUAGCGGCGGACGGGUGAGCACACGUGGGUAACCUGCCUGUAAGACUGGGAUAACUCCGGGAAACCGGGGCUAAUACCGGAUGGUUGUUUGAACCGCAUGGUUCAAACAUAAAAGGUGGCUUCGGCUACCACUUACAGAUGGACCCGCGGCGCAUUAGCUAGUUGGUGAGGUAACGGCUCACCAAGGCAACGAUGCGUAGCCGACCUGAGAGGGUGAUCGGCCACACUGGGACUGAGACACGGCCCAGACUCCUACGGGAGGCAGCAGUAGGGAAUCUUCCGCAAUGGACGAAAGUCUGACGGAGCAACGCCGCGUGAGUGAUGAAGGUUUUCGGAUCGUAAAGCUCUGUUGUUAGGGAAGAACAAGUACCGUUCGAAUAGGGCGGUACCUUGACGGUACCUAACCAGAAAGCCACGGCUAACUACGUGCCAGCAGCCGCGGUAAUACGUAGGUGGCAAGCGUUGUCCGGAAUUAUUGGGCGUAAAGGGCUCGCAGGCGGUUUCUUAAGUCUGAUGUGAAAGCCCCCGGCUCAACCGGGGAGGGUCAUUGGAAACUGGGGAACUUGAGUGCAGAAGAGGAGAGUGGAAUUCCACGUGUAGCGGUGAAAUGCGUAAAGAUGUGGAGGAACACCAGUGGCGAAUGCGACUCUCUGGUCUGUAACUGACGCUGAGGAGCGAAAGCGUGGGGAGCGAACAGGAUUAGAUACCCUGGUAGUCCACGCCGUAAACGAUGAGUGCUAAGUGUUAUGGGGUUUCCGCCCCUUAGUGCUGCAGCUAACG